AUUGAACGCUGGCGGCAUGCCUUACACAUGCAAGUCGAACGGCAGCACGGGGGCAACCCUGGUGGCGAGUGGCGAACGGGUGAGUAAUAUAUCGGAACGUGCCCAGUCGUGGGGGAUAACGUAGCGAAAGUUACGCUAAUACCGCAUACGAUCUACGGAUGAAAGCGGGGGAUCGCAAGACCUCGCGCGAUUGGAGCGGCCGAUAUCAGAUUAGGUAGUUGGUGGGGUAAAGGCUCACCAAGCCAACGAUCUGUAGCUGGUCUGAGAGGACGACCAGCCACACUGGAACUGAGACACGGUCCAGACUCCUACGGGAGGCAGCAGUGGGGAAUAUUGCACAAUGGGCGAAAGCCUGAUGCAGCAACGCCGCGUGAGGGAUGAAGGCCUUCGGGUUGUAAACCUCUUUUAGCAGGGAAGAAGCGAAAGUGACGGUACCUGCAGAAAAAGCACCGGCUAACUACGUG
rnacentral:rRNA from 1 species